AGAUGAACUGUGAGUACAAUCUAAUACAACCAGUUCAACUAAAAAGAACAAGUCUAAUAUCUCGUCGGAAACGGCCAUUUUCCAGGAGUAUCAGUAUCAGUAUCGAAGCUUUUGAGUCCUUCUCGGGCCGUUGAGUGAUUCGUCUUUUGUCCCCACAAAAAAUUGUUAAUUGAUAUUGCGUCAUGACGCUUUUUUGAUUCUGCUCAUACAUUUUUCGAAUUGAAUCGUAGUCUGUGUUGGUGCCGUAAGACAGUUUCGGUCAAGAAUAAGAAGAAGAAGACGAAGCUCUUGCAUCGGUUACGUUGUAAACAUACCAAACUGUGGCUUUAGUAUCCAACUUUUAUCAAAACUCGCGAGUGUUUACUCCUCUCUGCAAGCUACAAUUUCAAACUUGAAAGAAGAUCGAUUUUGUAAAGUUGAUAGCGAAUUGGACCACUUGUAUCGGCUGGAAUUCUCUAUUAGAAUUAUCUCUAUUAGAAAAAAGGCUUCUGCAAUUUGGAAAGGAAGAGGAAAAGAAACAAGGAAAAGGAGAAGAAAAGGAAAGAAAUUGAGCACAUGAGAGAAUGCGAACAUUUCUUUAGUAAUUCUGAAAGAUUGUAUGGAAAAAGAUUGCUAAUGAUGGAUAAUGGAUAUCAUACCAUGUUGAAAUCUUUAUGUUUGAGAUAACGAUACACUGGCACUUGGUACUUUGUUUACAAU